AUGCCAUGGUGGGGACACUUUCUCAACAACUCAUUGAACCGCUCCCAUGCCUCAUAUAAAGAUUCUUCAUCAAGUUGCUGAAAUGAAGUAAUCUCAUUGCAAAGCUU